CAGUCGCCGCGGGAAAACGUAGGUGGCAAGCGUUGUCCGGAAUUAUUGGGCGUAAAGGGCUCGCAGGCGGUUUCUUAAGUCUGAUGUGAAAGCCCCCGGCUCAACCGGGGAGGGUCAUUGGAAACUGGGAAACUUGAGUGCAGAAGAGGAGAGUGGAAUUCCACGUAUAGCGGUGAAAUGCGUAGAGAUGUGGAGGAACACCAGUGGCGAAGGCGACUCUCUGGUCUGUAACUGACGCUGAGGAGCGAAAGCGUGGGGAGCGAACAGGAUUAGAUACCCCGGUAGUCCCUGUCUCUUAUAC
rnacentral:rRNA from 1 species